GUGUUUGCUUCGGCAGCACAUAGACUAAAUAUUGGAAUGAUACGGAGAAGAUUAGCAUGGCCCCUGCACAAGGAUGACACACAAAUCUGUGAAGGCAAGAGUUUAAUA
ensembl:snRNA U6 U6 spliceosomal RNA